rnacentral:rRNA from 1 species
GACGAACGCUGGCGGCGUGCUUAACACAUGCAAGUCGAACGGAAAGGCCCUGCUUUUGUGGGGUGCUCGAGUGGCGAACGGGUGAGUAACACGUGAGUAACCUGCCCUUGACUUUGGGAUAACUUCAGGCAACUGGGGCUAAUACCGGCUAGGAGCUCCUGCUGCUUGGUGGGGGUUGGAAAGUUUCGGUGGUUGGGGAUGGACUCGCGGCUUAUCAGCUUGUUGGUGGGGUAGUGGCUUACCAAGGCUUUGACGGGUAGCCGGCCUGAGAGGGUGACCGGCCACAUUGGGACUGAGAUACGGCCCGGACUCCUACGGGAGGCAGCAGUGGGGAAUAUUGCACAAUGGGCGGAAGCCUGAUGCAGCAACGCCGCGUGCGGGAUGACGGCCUUCGGGUUGUAAACCGCUUUCGCCUGUGACGAAGCGUGAGUGACGGUAAUGGGUAAAGAAGCACCGGCUAACUACGUG